AAAAGCCCUUCAUGCGGGACAGUCCCGCAAGUCACGGGAUGAGUGGUCAUCCUACAUGCACCAACACCAUUUAUAAUUUCCACAAUGAAGCACGUGCUCCUGUAAGAUUUCAGGCAGCAGCUAUUAUACAUGCCAGAAAAAUGCUGUGGUUCUUUAGUUCAGUACUAAAAUAAGCAAGCGUUGAUUAUUUCAUAAUAAGCAUUAAAUGCUUUCACAUCAUAAUGCUUCCCAAAUAUGCCAAGUUCAUCUUUUCAUGCAAAUGCCUCCUUGCAGGUAAAUUUAACAUGUUUCAAUGUGUCUUUUGCAAGCAGAUUCACCUGCCUUCCAGAAACUGAGAUCAAUAUUGGAAAGCCCUCGCUUGCUGAGCGAUUUGCACCACCUUUCACCUGCAGCACAAACAUGCUCGUUGGAGUCGUUCAACAGCUUGUUGAUUCGCUUUGCACCUAAAUCUGUGGCCUACUCACCAGAUGGCAUGAAAGCAAGGACUCAACUAGCUGUUCUACACCACAAUGAGAAUGCUACAAGGCAUCAGGCUCGCACCAGGAAAGGAUCUUUGCAGUGGAAGUAAAGCUCAGCAAAGCAAGAAAGGGGCACUUUACUGUUUCCCCAUACAAGGGAUUGCCAACCUAUGGGUAUGUUGACGAGCUCAUCACAGCUGUGAUCAUGAAGUGUGAGGCCAGCUCACACCGGAGCAGCCUUGCCAGCAGCUCAUCGGGGCCACCCCUGCACAUGACGGAUGAAUUUGAAAGACCAGCGAAGGAACAACUUAU